rnacentral:rRNA from 1 species
CUACGGGUUGCUGCAGUAGGGAAUUUUCGACAAUGGGGGGAACCCUGAUCGAGCAAUGCCGCGUGAAUGAAGAAGGUCUUCGGACUGUAAAGUUCUUUUAUUGGAGAAGAAUGGUCACAUCAGGAAAUGGGAGUGAUUUGACGGUAUCCAUUGAAUAAGCCCCGGCUAACUACGUGCCAGCAGCCGCGGUAAUACGUAGGGGGCGAGCGUUAUCCGGAAUUAUUGGGCGUAAAGCGUGCGUAGGCGGUUUGUUAAGUCACUUGUAAAAGAUCUCAGCCCAACUGAGUAGGGCGAGUGAAACUGGCAGACUUGAAUACGGUAGAGGUAAGCGGAAUUCCAUGUGUAGCGGUGGAAUGCGUAGAUAUAUGGAGGAACACCAAUGGCGAAGGCAGCUUACUGGGCCGGAAUUGACGCUGAGGCACGAAAGCGUGGGGAGCAAACAGGAUUAGAUACCCUCGUAGUC